rnacentral:sRNA from 1 species
CUGAAGUCCUGGACAAUAAGAAGUCAUCUGUUUAUCCUACAGAACAGAUACAGAAUAAGCAAUAGAAGUGUAAGCUUCCCUACGCUGUUGUCAUUGUGAGUCAAGCCCUGACUUGGAGGGACUGUUUCUAGUGGCAGGAGGGUAGUUCAGCCUCCAUGGUCAUUCCAGGCCUUGACAUCU